rnacentral:rRNA from 1 species
GACAGAGGUGGCGAGCGUUGUUCGGAUUUAUUGGGUGUAAAGGGCAGGUAGGUGGCUACGUAAGUCUGAUGUGAAAUCCCACGGCUCAACCGUGGAACGGCAUUGGAAACUGUGUGGCUUGAGUACCGGAGAGGUGAGGGGAAUUCUCGGUGUAAGGGUGAAAUCUGUAGAUAUCGAGAGGAACACCAGUGGCGAAAGCGCCUCACUGGACGGUAACUGACACUGAGCUGCGAAAGCUAGGGGAGCAAACAGG